AUUGAACGCUGGCGGGAGGCUUAACACAUGCAAGUCGAGCGAGCGGCGGACGGGUGAGUAAUGUCGGGGAAACUGCCUGAUGGAGGGGGAUAACUACUGGAAACGGUAGCUAAUACCGCAUACCAUCAGAUGUGCCAAGAUGGGAUUAGCUAGUGGGUGGGGUAAUGGCUCACCUAGGCGACGAUCCCUAGCUGGUCUGAGAGGAUGACCAUCAACACUGGAACUGAGACACGGUCCAGACUCCUACGGGAGGCAGCAGUGGGGAAUAUUGCACAAUGGGCGCAAGCCUUAUGCAGCCAUGCCGCGUGUGUGAAGAAGGCCUUCGGGUUGUAAAGCACUGUCAGCGAGGAGGCUUUACUCUCUGAAGAAGCACCGGCUAACUCCGUGCCAGCAGCCGCGGUACUCC
rnacentral:rRNA from 1 species